rnacentral:rRNA from 1 species
UAGGGAAUCUUCGGCAAUGGGGGCAACCCUGACCGAGCAACGCCGCGUGAGUGAAGAAGGUUUUCGGAUCGUAAAGCUCUGUUGUAAGAGAAGAACGUGUGUGAGAGUGGAAAGUUCACACAGUGACGGUAACUUACCAGAAAGGGACGGCUAACUACGUGCCAGCAGCCGCGGUAAUACGUAGGUCCCGAGCGUUGUCCGGAUUUAUUGGGCGUAAAGCGAGCGCAGGCGGUUUAAUAAGUCUGAAGUUAAAGGCAGUGGCUUAACCAUUGUUCGCUUUGGAAACUGUUAAGCUUGAGUGCAGAAGGGGAGAGUGGAAUUCCAUGUGUAGCGGUGAAAUGCGUAGAUAUAUGGAGGAACCCCGGUGGCGAAAGCGGCUCUCUGGUCUGUAACUGACGCUGAGGCUCGAAAGCGUGGGGAGCAAACAGG